CCAAAGGAUAAUAGUAUUCCACUGGUCUUAGGCACC
rnacentral:tRNA from 1 species